rnacentral:rRNA from 1 species
UGGGGAAUAUUGCACAAUGGGCGAAAGCCUGAUGCAGCAACGCCGCGUGAGUGAUGAAGGCCUUCGGGUUGUAAAGCUCUGUCUUUUGGGACGAUAAUGACGGUACCAAAGGAGGAAGCCACGGCUAACUACGUGCCAGCAGCCGCGGUAAUACGUAGGUGGCAAGCGUUGUCCGGAUUUACUGGGCGUAAAGGAUGCGUAGGCGGAUUUUUAAGUGAGAUGUGAAAACCCUAAGCUUAACUUGGGGACUGCAUUUCAUACUGGAAAUCUAGAGUGCGGGAGAGGAGAAUGGAAUUCCUAGUGUAGCGGUGAAAUGCGUAGAGAUUAGGAAGAACACCAGUGGCGAAGGCGAUUCUCUGGACCGUAACUGACGCUGAGGCAUGAAAGCGUGGGUGAGCAAACAGGAUUAGAUACCCUGGUAGUCCACGCCGUAAACGAUGAGUACUAGGUGUAGGAGGUAUCGACCCCUUCUGUGCCGCAGUUAACACAAUAAGUACUCCGCCUGGGAAGUACGAUCGCAAGAUUAAAACUCAAAUGAAUUGAC